GAUGAACGCUGGCGGCGUGCCUAAUACAUGCAAGUCGAGCGAACAGACGAGGAGCUUGCUCCUCUGACGUUAGCGGCGGACGGGUGAGUAACACGUGGAUAACCUACCUAUAAGACUGGGAUAACUUCGGGAAACCGGAGCUAAUACCGGAUAAUAUAUUGAACCGCAUGGUUCAAUAGUGAAAGACGGUUUUGCUGUCACUUAUAGAUGGAUCCGCGCCGCAUUAGCUAGUUGGUAAGGUAACGGCUUACCAAGGCAACGAUGCGUAGCCGACCUGAGAGGGUGAUCGGCCACACUGGACCUGAGACCCGGUCCAGACUCCUACGGGAGGCAGCAGUAGGGAAUCUUCCGCAAUGGGCGAAAGCCUGACGGAGCAACGCCGCGUGAGUGAUGAAGGUCUUCGGAUCGUAAAACUCUGUUAUUAGGGAAGAACAAAUGUGUAAGUAACUAUGCACGUCUUGACGGUACCUAAUCAGAAAGCCACGGCUAACUACGG
rnacentral:rRNA from 1 species